UUACAAUGGUGCCCAUAGAAUUCCCCAGA
rnacentral:piRNA from 1 species